GACGAACGCUGGCGGCGUGCUUAACACAUGCAAGUCGAACGAAGAGCGAUGGAAGCUUGCUUCUAUCAAUCUUAGUGGCGAACGGGUGAGUAACGCGUAAUCAACCUGCCCUUCAGAGGGGGACAACAGUUGGAAACGACUGCUAAUACCGCAUACGAUCCAAUCUCGGCAUCGGGACUGGAUGAAAGGUGGCCUCUAUUUAUAAGCUAUCACUGAAGGAGGGGAUUGCGUCUGAUUAGCUAGUUGGAGGGGUAACGGCCCACCAAGGCGAUGAUCAGUAGCCGGUCUGAGAGGAUGAACGGCCACAUUGGGACUGAGACACGGCCCAGACUCCUACGGGAGGCAGCAGUGGGGAAUCUUCCGCAAUGGACGAAAGUCUGACGGAGCAACGCCGAGUGAGGGAUGACGGCCUUCGGGUUGUAAAGCUCUGUUAAUCGGGACGAAUGGUUCUUGUGCGAAUAGUGCGAGGAUUUGACGGUACCGGAAUAGAAAGCCACGGCUAACUACGUG
rnacentral:rRNA from 1 species